UGAGGGAUAUUGGGCAAUGGGGGAAACCCUGACCCAGCAACGCCGCGUGAGGGAAGACGGUCUUCGGAUUGUAAACCUAAGUAGUCAGGGACGAAGAAAUGACGGUACCUGAAGAGUAAGCUCCGGCUAACUACGUGCCAGCAGCCGCGGUAAUACGUAGGGAGCGAGCGUUGUCCGGAUUUACUGGGUGUAAAGGGUGCGUAGGCGGGCUGUCAAGUCAGAUGUGAAAUACCGGGGCUUAACUCCGGGGCUGCAUUUGAAACUGAUGGUCUUGAGUGAAGUAGAGGCAGGCGGAAUUCCUAGUGUAGCGGUGAAAUGCGUAGAUAUUAGGAGGAACACCAGUGGCGAAGGCGGCCUGCUGGGCUUUAACUGACGCUGAGGCACGAAAGCAUGGGGAGCAAACAGG
rnacentral:rRNA from 1 species